GAUGAACGCUGGCGGCGUGCCUAAUACAUGCAAGUCGAGCGAACAGACGAGGAGCUUGCUCCUCUGACGUUAGCGGCGGACGGGUGAGUAACACGUGGAUAACCUACCUAUAAGACUGGGAUAACUUCGGGAAACCGGAGCUAAUACCGGAUAAUAUAUUGAACCGCAUGGUUCAAUAGUGAAAGACGGUUUUGCUGCCACUUAUAGAUGGAUCCGCGCCGCAUUAGCUAGUUGGUAAGGUAACGGCUUACCAAGGCAACGAUGCGUAGCCGACCUGAGAGGGUGAUCGGCCACCCUGGAACUGAGACACGCUCCAGAGUCCUACGGGAGCCAUCCGUAGGGAAUCUUCCGCAAUGGGCGAAAGCCUGACGGAGCAACGCCGCGUGAGUGAUGAAGGUCUUCGGAUCGUAAAACUCUGUUAUUAGGGAAGAACACGUGUGUAAGUAACUAUGCGCGUCUUGACGGUACCUAAUCAGAAAGCCACGGCUAACUACGUG
rnacentral:rRNA from 1 species